rnacentral:rRNA from 1 species
GACGAACGCUGGCGGCGUGCUUAACACAUGCAAGUCGAACGGAAAGGCCCUGCUUUUGUGGGGUGCUCGAGUGGCGAACGGGUGAGUAACACGUGAGUAACCUGCCCUUGACUUUGGGAUAACUUCAGGAAACUGGGGCUAAUACCGGAUAGGAGCUCCUGCUGCAUGGUGGGGGUUGGAGAGUUUCGGCGGUUGGGGAUGGACUCGCGGCUUAUCAGCUUGUUGGUGGGGUAGUGGCUUACCAAGGCUUUGACGGGUAGCCGGCCUGAGAGGGUGACCGGUCACAUUGGGACUGAGAUACGGCCCAGACUCCUACGGGAGGCAGCAGUGGGGAAUAUUGCACAAUGGGCGGAAGCCUGAUGCAGCAACGCCGCGUGCGGGAUGACGGCCUUCGGGUUGUAAACCGCUUUCGCCUGUGACGAAGCGUGAGUGACGGUAAUGGGUAAAGAAGCACCGGCUAACUACGUGCCAGCCGCCGCAGUAA